GUACAUAUGUAUGUACAUACAAGUACGAGUACCUUGAUCUUAGGUGGCUUUCUUGUGCCUGAUCCUGCGCAUGGGUGGCGCCAAUGUCAGCGUUGUCAGGUUGGGUAUUCACUGUCAAUGCCAAUGUCAAUAGAAGGGCUAAUUUCGGCGACAGGCUCAAGGUCGGAGUAACUGUUUCACGGACAUUGAAGGGAACAGAGAGUGUAAAAAGUAGACGGAGCCGAUGAUACAUAUGCAUAUACUUCACUUUGAGUUAUCGCCAUUUACUUUUUCGCUCUCCACUAUGCCAAUCAUCAUUCAUCGUUUUACCAGAUCUCCUCCACCAUCUACAUCUCGCCCUUUCCUCACCACCAUCUAUUGAUUUCUUCUCUGCUGAUAUGACUGCGACGGCGACGCCGACUAAGCAAAGAAAGCUCGCUUAAAGAGGAGAGAGGAGAACAGCUAACUUUGAGGGCAUCAAUCAGUGCAAGGUGACGAUACAACAAAGUGAGGAAUUGCUGCUCUACUCCACGCACCUUUUUCUCUGUGAGAGACACAACCACAACAUUUGAGAGCAAUCUCUUCACGCCUCACCUAGUGCGGCAUCAGCUACGACGACUUGAUGGCAAUGAAAAGUAGUGUUGAUAACGGGGAUCACUGGAGGGUCACGUCACUCACGAGGAUAUUGCAAUAAAAUAAGGCACAUAAAUAUUAGAAUUUAUCUGAUAAAAAUCUCAAUAGAAUAUCUCAUAAAAUAUCUUCAUAAUUAGGUUCUGUUCCAAGCAAAGACUGGACAAUUGAUUUCGAAAUAUCUGCUGAAAAUCAUAAUACCCUUCGGCAAAGAGUAUAAUUAUGUGCAAAAGUAUCCCAUCAAAUCAGAGCGAGCAAAUACCUAAACGAGGUGCUAAAAGAUCCCAUUUGUAGUUGGUCAUCGAGGCCUUAAAUUGAAAAUACAAGCUACGGAAAGUGCGAAAUAUCAAUCCAGAACCAGAUCGGGCAAAGAGAGAUAGCGACAGAUAGAUGAAAUGAGAGGACUGAAACACACGCACACACACAGUACAUAACCGUACUCGGUAGCAGCGUAUUUAAAUUGGGCAAACUGAUUCAUUGGGCGGCGGCGGCAUUACCCAAAAAUGUUGAUAAAUAUCGCAAGUUAAAUUAAUUACUAGACAAGUACAUAUGCUCAUUGGCUUUGAUGUAUCGACGUAUCACAAGUGUCAGCCGCCAGCAAAUCCAAGUGUAUUUAAAUAAAUUCAAAUGAAUUGUAAUUGAUGGGAUACCAGCAGAAGAUACCAGGUAACAGGCCGGGCCUCUCCCUUUGGCAUUUAUUGGAUGUCACCCACCGAUCGGUCACAUGAAUCGCUGCAACUAGACCUCGGAAGUGAUCGAUUUUUGAGCUAAUUUCUCAGCCCCUAAACUGUUGACAAAACCAACAAAUCAAUCAAAAGUGAAGAACAUGUGGAGGCCGACGAUGCCACAAUUUAUGCGCAUUACAAAUCCGAAUAUGCCAAUAAAUGUUAUGCUAUACUCGUA